ACAAAUCCUCCACCAUUCCGUCUCCCACCUGGCAAUCUCAAUCCACACACCCCUCCUCUCCCCCUACCCUCCCAAAUCCCAACCCACACACCCCUCUAAAAGUCCCUCCCCGACCUUGUCCCCCAGCUUUCUCACUUCUCUACAUGUUCAGAAGACCUCUACACUCUUCCAGAUGUACAAGUUUCCUCUUCAACCCAGAUGAGAAACCAUCCCAUCAUACACAACUCAGCCCCAACCUUUCCUUCAAACUGCCUUAACAAGAUGACAGUUUGGCAUUCUGGGAAGAUGGCGGAAUGGGGCAGAAAUUCCCAGACUUCCUCCACAAACAGACAGAAAAUCACCACAAAACGAACAUAGAGCAGCAAAAAUAAAGGUGUAAAGCAGUUGCCCUCCUAGGAUAUCUUGAGAGGACCUCAGAGAAGACUUUAUUUAGGGGCUGAGGUUUAGUCUGAGUGAAAUGUAGACACUUCCAGGCCCACUCCAUUGAAUCAACAAACCGUUGACCCU